UACGGGGGGGGCAAGCGUUGUUCGGAAUUACUGGGCGUAAAGGGCUCGUAGGCGGCCAACUAAGUCAGACGUGAAAUCCCUCGGCUUAACCGGGGAACUGCGUCUGAUACUGGAUGGCUUGAGUUUGGGAGAGGGAUGCGGAAUUCCAGGUGUAGCGGUGAAAUGCGUAGAUAUCAGGAGGAAUACCGAUGGCGAGGGCAGGUCUCUGGGUCGAUACUGACGCUCAUGCACGAAAGCGUGGGGAGCAAACAGG
rnacentral:rRNA from 1 species